UAGCAUGUAUCCGCCGCGAUAAACCACAAAAAGAACCUUACGUUACGGAAGGCGGUCCAGUGACAGUAACAAACAUAUUAUUAGCCCGCUUCUCAUUAUGACAGCAGUAGUAGAUGUUUUCAUGUCUGUGAAUUCAAAGAUGGCUCCAUCAUCAGGGUGAUGGCCCUGAUUAUAGAGGCAGCAAGGACAUCUGAAACGUUGAUGUUUUCCUACAUUGAAAAGGAUGAAACAUUCAUGGAGAUAAUUUCCUUUUCUGAUCAAGUCAAGUUUUAUAUAUGCAGAACAGUCAACAGACACAAGUAUUGUUUAUCAGAAAUUAAAAUGAUCACAAUUAUGAAACAUGUGGUGUGCCUUGAUGACAAAUGAAAUUUAUUGGCCCUUUUUGAAGAGCCUGUGGUGACUUGUGGAACCUUUCUUGCAGUGACGGGGAACACUGGUUUACCCCAUGCACUUGCUGGAACAGUAUUUCAAUUAAACAGUGUAACAACUCACUUCUCCAAUUAUGUUCAAGUCAUUUUGAGCAUGGAGUUUCUUUAUUGAAGGGUGGAAUGUGCUUGCUUGCCUCCUAAUUCUCCAGAUGUAAACCCCAUAUAUUUUUUUAUAGAUUUGUAAAAGACAAUGUUUAUCAAAAUGUGAAUGAUAUAUGUGCAAGAAUCAUCCAAGAGGCAGGGUGUGUUACCAAGAACAUGCUGGUUUAUACUUGCCGAGUAACUAAAUAUGCUUUCAUGAAUGUUAUUUUAUUAAUGGUGCACUAUUGAGGUUUUCCUCAACUGGUAAAAAACUUCAUGUGAUUUGAUUUUCAAAAUAUAAUACUAUUUCCAAUACACUUUGUGACUAAAAGUAUAUGAUGUUUAAUCUGUUGUCAAUCAGUACCAGGCACUGUAUAAUUAGAACUUUAGUAUACAAAGUAAUAAAGCUUCAAGAUAGCACUUUUAA